GAUGAACGCUGGCGGCGUGCCUAACACAUGCAAGUCGAACGAUGAAACCGCCUCCGGGCGGACAUGAAGUGGCGAACGGGUGAGUAACACGUGACCGACCUGCCCCCCGCCCAGGGACAGCCCCCCGAAAGGGGGAUUAAUACCCGGUACUCCGGAAGCGGCGCAUGCCGCCCCCGGGAAAGCGCUGGCGGCGGGGGAUGGGGUCGCGGCCCAUCAGGUAGACGGCGGGGCAGAGGCCCACCGUGCCGACGACGGGUAGCCGGGCUGAGAGACCGACCGGCCACAUUGGGACUGAGAUACGGCCCAGACUCCUACGGGAGGCAGCAGUGGGGAAUUUUGCGCAAUGGGGCAACCCUGACGCAGCAACGCCGCGUGCGGGACGAAGGCGUCCGCGUCGUAAACCGCUUUCAGCGGGGAACACUUUUCGAGGGUACCCGCAGAAGAAGCCCCGGCUAAAUACGUGCCAGCCGCCGCAGUAA
rnacentral:rRNA from 1 species